CCUUGUGUCACCUCUAAAUCCAGGUGAGAAAAUCGUUGACCGACUUUCUCACCAGCGCGUGAAGAAUUGUAAGGGGUAGAUAACUGGUGAGGAAUGUACACAGGGUAGCGUUUGUGUAGAUCGAGGUAAACAAACUACCUGACAAACAAAAAAUGUUUUCAUUGGCGCGCUGUCCUUUUUUUCAAGAUAAAUUGAUAAUGGAUGAUGAGACUGAUCAGAACAUUUAGAUGAAACAGAUUCUCAUCGAAUAGCUGUCGUUCUGUACGAAGGAAACAAAAGGAAAUAUGCGGAGCAUCUCGGCCAAAAGUCACGUGACAUUGUUUGAGGAAAGGGACGACUCGGCGAGAGCUGUUGGUUACUCGUGCGAUUGCUCCCCCCACUUUUCGCGAUUCGCCUCGAACGACCAGUCGUCGGCCGCGGAGUAAUGUUUUGUGCAAUCUGCAAUGCUCAGUGUGUCGUGUGACUCGUAUAAAGUGUUCUGAAGGCCAGGAAUAGCAGCCAUGGCGCAAACAAAAUGCUUGCUUUUGACCGGCACAUUUAUCUUACUGCUGGCUGCAGGGUGGCAUUGCUGCCAGUCCCAGACACCAUCAUCCUUACCUGCCUCUCCAAACCGCACUUUUGGAUACUUUAAUGCGACUUCCCAGGUGACGCUGCCGUCAUCGACAUGGAACCUGCAAAACACAAAAGAAGUGACAUUCAGGACGUGCAUGCCAGAUGGCACAUUUCUCCUGCAAACGGCAGCCUCUGUGAGCACUGGUGGUGCCCACCAUUUUAAACUUUAUUUGAGUAAUGGCACUGUGGUGUUCCAGUGGAGCUUGGGGACAGGCAGCAGCAUCUACAACAUCUCUACAGGCAGCAAUUUAGCAAACAACCAGCAGUACACAGUGAGGUUGACGUUUUUCCUUGGGGUGAUCAACCUAUAUGUGCUUCAGCAAAGUGUCAUCAAGUACAGUGCCACUGUGGCCAACUCCACAUUCAACAGCAACUUACUGUCUGCUGUAAUUAGUUCUACUGACCUGCUUGUGGGGCAGAACUUCACAGGAUGUUUGUUCUAUGGUCCUGGUGUGAAUUUUGCAUUGGCACUUGUGGCAGCAAAUGUUGCAUGGAACACGUGCCCAUUGCAGACAAGAUCAGGAUGUUCUGAAGUUGAAGCUGACGGGGAUAACUGCUAUUCAGUCAUCUGCCAAAAUGGCGGAACGUGCAAAGAUGGUUACAGAAAUUACACCUGUCAAUGUCUACCAAACUUCAAUGGCACUCUCUGCGAGAAUGAUCUUGCAAGGAUGUAUGGUUGUCAAAUUCAGCCAUGCCUGAAUGGUGCCACCUGUGUUCCCCAAACUCCCUCCACAACAGGUGGCUUUCCAUACCACUGUAACUGUGUUCCAGGCUAUGCUGGUCAGAAUUGUGAAACUGAGCUCAAUGAAUGCCAGAAGAACCCUUGUAAAAAUGGCAUCUGUAAUAGGCAGGUCAAUGGAUAUACUUGCAACUGCACAGGUACAGGUUUCAUGGGCACCAACUGCAGUGAGGACAUUAAUGAAUGUAACAGCUCACCUUGUGGUAUUGGCAACUGUUUUAAUAUCGCAGGUAGUUACAGCUGUGAAUGCCCUUUUGGCUAUGGUGGACCACACUGUCAGGAUAUUAAUGAAUGUCUUUCCUCACCUUGCCAAAAUAAUGGAACGUGUGUUGAUGGCCUGGCCAGCUUCACCUGUAGGUGUCCCCGUGGCUUCAAUGGCAGUCAGUGUGAACACAAUAUUGAUGACUGCAUUAAUAUCGUCUGUCCAGGAACCUUUAGAAUGUGUCAGGACCUUGUUGAAAGUUAUCAGUGUGUGUGUCUUCCUGGAUAUACAGGAGCAGCUGGGUCUGGCCCUUGCACUGAAAUCAAUGAAUGUUUGUCUAACCCAUGUCAGAAUAAUGCAACAUGCCAAAAUCUUAUCAAUGGCUAUAGGUGUAGUUGUUUACCGGGAUAUUCCGGCACCAACUGCCAGACAAAUAUAGAUGAUUGUGCCAGAAUACCUUGCGAAAAUAAUGCAACUUGCAUUGAUGGUGUCAACUCAUUCUGGUGUCAGUGUCAGCCUGGCUUCACAUCCUACAACUGCAGCACCAAUAUCAACGAGUGUCUUGGCAACAACUGCAAAAAUGGGGCCACUUGUAUUGAUCUUGUAAAUGGCUUCAGGUGUUCAUGUGCAGCAGGAUGGACAGGUGAAACUUGUGAAAGAGACAUAGAUGACUGUGCACCAAGACCUUGUUUACAUGGAUCUUGUGUUGAUCAUCUGGGAUAUUACACCUGCAACUGUGCACCUGGUUAUACAGGGAGUAACUGUGAUGUUGAUAUUAAUGACUGCUCACCAAACCCAUGUCUGAAUGGAGCUACUUGCACAGACAAAGUGAAUAAUUACACUUGUACGUGCUCAACAGAGUGGAUGGGCAGAAACUGUACUGAGGAGUACGAUGCAUGUUCAUUCCAUCCUUGCCAAAACAAUGCCAGUUGUACAUCCUUGAAGAGGCAGCGUAGUUACAACUGUGCUUGUCUCCUUGGCUUUAAUGGCACCAAUUGUGAAAACAACAUUGAUGAUUGUCUGGGAGUGACUUGUGAACGUUACCAUGUUUGUUUUGAUGGAAUCCACAAUUAUACCUGCGCAUGUCCCCGAGGAUUCACAGGUUUAAAUUGUUCAACUGACAUUAAUGAAUGUGAAAGCAACCCAUGCCAAAAUAAGGGUAACUGCACUAACUCCAUUGGUGGCUACAACUGCACUUGUGCCACUGGAAUUAAAAAUCCAGAUCACUACCAAACUGGCUGGACAGGUGUCAACUGUGAGACUGACAUCAAUGAGUGCAAUUAUGACCCACCAAUAUGUAAGAAUGGUGGCGUGUGCACGAAUCUGCCAGGAAGACACAGCUGCAGCUGCACUACACAGACUGAAGCAGGCGAAUUAAUCACUGGCUACAACUGUGAAUUGGUGACAUCGUACUGUACAUUUGAUGGGAAGAAGAAGUGUGAAAAUGGAGGAACGUGUAUUGGCAGAACUGGAGGCUAUGAUUGUCUGUGUGCUGCAGGCUUCACAGGUGCUGACUGCGAAAUAGAUAUAAACGAGUGUGUGUCAUCUCCUUGCCAAAAUAAUGGAACUUGCAUAGACAGAGUCAAUGGUUACAUGUGCCAGUGCAUUCCAGGUAUCACAGGUGGAAACUGUGAAACUAACAUUGAUGAGUGUGCAAGUAGCCCUUGUGGACAUGGUGCAUGUAUAGAUCAGGUCAAUGGUAGUGAUGAGGACAGUAAUACAACCUGGUGUCAGGGGCCUUCCUGUCUUGAUACCAGCCAUCGAUUCAUCUGUGAUUGCUUCAAUACUGGUUUUCAAGGAGAUUUUUGUCAAAACAAUAUUGAUGACUGCUUGAAUGCUACCUGCCAACAUAACAGCACUUGCUUGGAUCAAAUUAAGGGCUAUGCUUGUGACUGUUUAGCUGGCUACACUGGCUUGUCAUGUGAAGGAGACAUCCUUGAAUGUGCCUCAAACCCCUGUCAGUAUAAUGGAACAUGCCUAGAGUACUCUAACCAGACUCUUUACACACAAAAUCAUCUAGGAUUUUCCGUCUUCUCAUAUGCAACAGCUGCUGGAUACAAGUGUGAAUGUAUUUCUGGCAUCACAGGAGCAAACUGUGAGACCAACAUUGAUGAUUGUGUGCCUGGAGCUUGCCAGAAUGGUGGUACUUGUCAGGAUCUUAUCAAUAAUUUCACCUGCUUGUGUGCUUCUGGAUACCGUGGAAGCCGCUGCGAGACCGAGAUAAACGAAUGCCUGGAGUAUCGACCAUGCCAGAAUGGAGCCACAUGCAAGGACUUGAUUGCGGAUUACACCUGUCAGUGUCGAGCGUUCACUAUGACUGCAGCUAACUAUGGAGGGAAAAACUGCAGCGUGUAUUUGCGUGGCUGUGAUGUAAUCCAUCCAUGCCUUCAGGGCCAGUGCAUACCUCUUUUGUUGGAUGAAGCUUCAGAUAGGCAUGGCUACAGAUGUGAGUGUUACUCGGGCUUUACAGGAACAUUCUGCAAUCAGUCAACCACCAUGACAUUCAGCGCCACCGGUAGCAAAAUUUGGUAUGCACCAGAUGCAGGGGACAGUAGUUCUUUGUCACUGCGCUUCCGGACAACACUACGAGAAGCUGUUCUUGUGCUGUACAGUUUUUCAACAGAUAAUUUUGUGUCACUUGAAAUUCAUGGAGGACAGUUGGUAGUUAAAUAUCAGGACAACAGCACUCAGAUUAUUCAAAGCGUGGAGGCUCAGGACCGGGUCAAUAAUGCAGAAUGGCAGCAGGUCUUGCUCAGCUUGGGCCAAAACAUAUCUGUUGUGCUGAUUUCAAAAGUUUGUGGAACACAGCGAUGUCUCACACAGUUUAACUACCCACUGGGGAAGCCCAGCACCCACCAAACUUUAAUCUACUUUGGAUACCUUGACUCUCCGUUACGUGUGAGGACUGUUUCACAACAAACUUAUGUUGGCUGCAUGGAAGACAUCAAAAUCAACAACAUUUACUUCUUUGAUGGGCAACCACAGGGUCAGUACCAGAACAUGACACAUGGGUGUCCACGAAUAGAGCAGUGCGAUCCUUACACAUGUUCUCGCCAUGGCACUUGUGUUGAUUUUUGGGAUACAUUUAACUGCGAAUGUGAUCGGCCCUAUUGGGGAACCCGAUGCGAGAAAGAGUACACAUCAGCAACCUUUUAUAAAGAUGGCAACCCAAGCAUGGUUCGUUUUGCUCUCACUGCUAAUGUCACUAGCUCUUUUCAAAGUGGCAUAGAAAUUUCUUUCUUCAUGCGUACACGAGAAGAAGAUGGUAUUAUCAUGUAUCUUGGCAACUUUGAACAAGAAGGGACACUCACAUACAUCACUUUAGAGAUGAAUGGUGGCCGUUUGGCAGUACGGUUGCGUUUCUGCACUUUUGGCAAUUUCUUUAACUCAUCUGGAGGUGUUCUUAAUGGAGGAUCCAUAAACUUUGUACGUCUGAACUUUACUUCCUCAACUCUUGUCUUAGAAGUGAACCAGCAAGUAGUUAUUUACCAAAACAUACCUACACCUCCCUGUAACCUGACUGCAGCAUUAAUCCUACUGGGUAAAGUGGUUACACCAUCCAGCCCAACAAUUCGUAGAAAGCGACGCCAGGCUAAUACAGAGCUCUCAACAGUGUUGAGCUUGCAGCCUUUUAAUGGUGUGGUACAGGACGUUCGGCUGCAAGGCUUUAAGCUGGAUUUCUACGACCGCAAUGCUUCAGGUGAUACAAUGGUGUUAAAGAUGACAGAUUCGCAGAACCUCACCUUGGGCACUUAUUCAACGCAGAAUGUUUGCAACAUAAGUCGGCCCUGUGAUAAUGGAGGGACUUGCCAUGAUGUCUUCUUCAAUGACUUCAGCUGUGAUUGUCCUGCUGGUUAUCUGGGAAAAAACUGCAGCCAGCUUGAUUUUUGCAAAAACAACAGUUGUCCCAGCUGGGCUACAUGCAAAAGUCUACAGAUUGGCUUUGAAUGUAUUAGCACUGGAUCGUUCAAUGGAAUUAACAGUGUGGUGCAGUUCCAGAAGAAUUUGACAGGCUAUCUCCCUUUCCAGGAGCUGUCUUUUCGUCUUCGCACACAAGCAAUUUAUGGCGUCAUAUUUGAAGCUAGAAAUAACAACUUUUUCAUAAAAGUCCGUCUUUGGGAUGGAAGCUUGCAAAUCAACUACCUUUUGAAAAGUGGGUGGUCUGAAGUUGUUCACUUAACACCACACUUUGAAGUCAAUGAUGGCCUUUGGUCAGAUGUUAAAUUGGACGUCACCAAUAACAGUCUGGUUUUGAUGUUGAGCAGAAAUGGAAGUAUCUUGGUAGAAAGUGAAAAGCGUACUUUAGAAGGGGCUGUUGUGAACUUUGCUUCUUUAGUGGAAGAUGGCAUCGUGACUGUUGGCGGAGUUGCUGACAUGAAGGAACAGGCAUUCAAAGGCUGCCUGGAAGAGGUCAGAGUUGGUGGACUUCUUCUGCCCUUUGUAACUAGAUCUCAAAUGGUCAACAAUGAUGCAGUCCAACACUUCAUAGCAAUGUCUACAAGCAGCAUUCAACAAGGGUGCCUUGUUCCAACCCCUUGUGCGAAAAACAUUUGCUACAACAGUGCACAGUGUUAUGAGUCGAGCAGAGGUUAUCAGUGCCAAUGCCCAGUUGGUUACACUGGUCAGUACUGUCAAGCUAAUGUGAAUGACUGUUUUUCAAACCCAUGCCAGAAUGGAGGGCAGUGUGUGGAUGGUGUCAAUACUUUCACUUGCAAAUGUCGUCCAGGAUUUCAAGGAUCAAAGUGUGAAUAUUCAGACGACCUCUGCAGCAACUCAUCUUGCCCCAACAACAGCCAGUGUGUGCAAGAUUCCAAAUUUUCCAGAGGUUACAGAUGCAAUUGUUCCAAUCAAAAUUUCACUGGGGAUUUCUGUAAUGUCACGGUACAUCAGAACUGUACACAAGAACUGUGCCAUAAUAGUGGCAACUGUACCCAGAAUGCAUCUUCAUUUUCCUGCAGUUGUGCUCUUGGUUUUCUUGGACCCCUCUGUGAGUCCAAAGAAAACUUUUGUGCAAGCUUGCCAUGUUUAAAUAAUGGAAGUUGUACAUUCAAUUCAUCUGGGUAUACAUGCUCCUGUCCUGCAGGCUUCUCAGGACGUAAUUGUGAGCCGAUUAUCACGUGCACCAACACCACCUGUAAAAAUGGUGGAGUCUGUGCUGAUGACAAUAACUGCAGAUGCACUGCAGGAUGGAUUGGUAGAACAUGUGAAACUGAUGCGAAUGAAUGUAACUUUAACCCAUGUGCUCACGGAAGUUGCAUCAACAUGAAUGGGAGUUAUUCCUGCAAUUGCACAGACACUGGAUAUGGUGGUGUAAACUGCACUGAUGAGCUGAAUGAGUGCGAUCUAGGAUUCUGUCAACAUGGUACCUGCAAUGAUACAGAAGGAAACUACACUUGUAGCUGCGACAAUGGUUACAAGGGUCUGAACUGUUCGAUUGCCACCUGUGAUAAUAUCAUCUGUGAGAAUAAUGGCACAUGUACUAUUACUGAUGAUCAUACAGCAUGGAAAUGCCACUGCCCUCAGUAUUAUGGAGAUCCUUUUUGUAGGCUUAAAGGGCCGUGUCUCAAAAGUCCUUGCAAUUCCUCAAACACAGAUUAUUGCAAUCAGACAGAAGAUUUCUACAUCACAAACUCAUCUCGGCAGUGUAUAUGUAAAGCAGGUUGGGAAGGAGACUCAUGCUCAGAUGAUAAAAAUGAAUGCAGCAAUACCAAUUUAUGUCUGAAUGGUGCCUCUUGCCAGAACACACCUGGUGACUUUAUGUGUCAGUGUCCUUCUGGUUAUGAUGGUAAGCAUUGUGAUCAUGACAUUGACGAAUGCGCAUCCAGCCCUUGCCAGAAUAAUGGUGUUUGUUCCCAAACUAUAAACAACUACACCUGCAGCUGUAAUGGCACAGGGUAUCAAGGGCAAAACUGCACAGAGGACAUAAACGAAUGUGAGGAAAGCUCUCAGUGUAACAAUGGUAACUGCAGCAACACUGUUGGAAACUUCACCUGCCUUUGUGGUGACCUUUACUUGGGUAGGUUUUGCGAGUACAACAACCCCUGCAGUGGGCAGGUCUGUGCCAAUAGAGGCACCUGCAGCCCGAUCUUUGACACAAAUUCUGACUCCUACAAAUAUCAGUGCACCUGCAGUGAUGGGUACCAAGGUGACACCUGUGAACAGAGCCCAGAGAAAACAAGUGGUGUUGAACCAUAUUACAUUUAUGCGCCCAUCAUAGCUUUCAUCCUGCUUGCUCUUCUUAUUGGUGUAAUUGUUUUUAUCAUAAUUGCAAAAAAUAAACGGGCGACUAGAGGAGCAUACAGUCCAAGCCAGCAGGAGACAGCUGGAUCACGUGUAGAGCUCGGCAAUGUACUAAAGAAACCUCCAGAAGAACGCUUGAUAUAAACAAAUGCAUUGCAUAUGGUGGUCAGGUAGAUCAGGGUGUGGAGAGAAUGGCGGAUGCACCACAGGCCUUUUAAGAUAUCAUCUACAUUUCCUGAGCUUACUAUUCUGCAGCAUCUUAAACCCAAAUGUUCUUGCAAAAGUGUCAGGAAGCAUUCAUCAUAAUAAUAAGGAUUACAGGAUCCGUAAGUUGAAUAUGUGGUUUGCAUCUUUUUUUUGUUUUGGGGCUUUUUUUUUUUUUUGCCAAGGAUUGCAAGAGUUCAUCUAUGCAAACAGCACGUUAGAAAAUAAUUGUCAAUGUGUCAGUUGCAGAAUGAACUUUUAUGUGCAUGUUUGUGUUUUCAAAUUUAGUUGUUCUUUAUUCAUUUGUCAAAUGGAAAUGAUAUUGUUUUACAUAAAAAGACAUUACUUUAAAGUUGUUGUUUUGUUGUUGUUUUUUUUUGUUUUGGUUUUUUUUUAUUUUUUUUUUUAGAUUCUUGCAUCAUGACAUUUCUAUUUCUUGUCAAAUAUUGUGCAACAUUCUUCAAGUCUUUAUAUCCUGGUAAAAUAUCAGCAUGGCAGUUUUUGUACUAUGGUAGGUAGAGAACAGCAACAAAAACAGGAUUAGCUAUGGCACCAGAUUAAUACAAUAUUUAACAGCUAAGUAAGCUACUUCAAGUAAAUUUUUUCAAAUGUUUCAAAAGUCUUUUAUAUAAAUCUUUUCUCCCCUUCUUUUAUACAUAGGGUCUAAAAAGUGUUCUUAUCAAGUUGGGUCACUUCUUUCUUUUCAAGAUGCUGGCAGCAGGGGAAACAAUCUGAUGCCAUGCCAUCAUAGUUCUCGUGGUGUCUUGCAGUCUCCCACCCCCAUUCUACUUCACCCCAAUUUUUUGUUUGAAGAUUUUUUGAUUAGACGAUGAUAAAAUGCAGAAAAGACAUCAUAAUUUCAGUGGAACUGUCAGCUGUAUUUUCAUUUUACUCUUGAUUCAUUGGUUAAUAGCAUGUCUGCUGUUGAUUCUACACAGCUUGAUUGUGUGACCUUCAAAGUGUAUCUUACCAAAUAUUUGUAUUUAUUUCAGUAAGAGAGUAUUUACAUCCAUGUAUGAUUGUUGUGAACAUGUGUAUGUACAUUUAUUGAUUUGCACGUGCAUACACCUAUUGGCUCUGUUUCUUUGUAUAAAUUCCUGCAGCAUAAUUAAUAUUCCAAUCAUCAUCAGUGUUAUGAGAUCAAGAUUAUCAAAGAAAGCUAUACUAUGCAAUGGUGCAUUCAUUGCAUAUUUUUAUAAACAGCUUCAUGGAAAACAAUUUACAUUUGAUGUGUAGCUGCUGGUAGUUUUGCACUUAUUAUUAACCAGAUGGAACCAUUGUACUCAUUUAAAUAUAUUCAUAUUUGUAUUUUAUGGGAAUUAAUAAGCAUUUUGGGCCAAAGGCAACACAAUGUGCAAGAUAUGUUUGAAGUACUUUGUCCAUCAAAUACAUUCUUUUGAUCAAUCCAUCCUUAUAACCUGCUUGGAAGGAAGUAUAAUUGUGAAAGUUUGAAUGACCACAACAGUUUAAAGUAUCAGUUUUCAAAGCUGUAGAGGCUUAACUCCAGAUAUGAGUGUGACAAUAAUUUAGCAGUCACUGUAGUUUUUCAUAUUAGGUGGUGAUGGUGUCAAGACUGCUUUUAGUGUGGAGAGUACAAAAAUACUACUUAUUUAACAGGAGAGUGGGAGAUCUUUCAGAGGAUAUAUGCAGACUUCUUGGCUAGAGCCAGGGUUAGUUUGUCAAGACAGCUGUGACCUAGCUUUGCCUGCUUUAAAUAUACCUAAGCUGAGGAUGAAAAACCAUUAUUUAUACACCUAUAACCUGCUAAAUCUUUUAAAAAAUAAAGUUUGAAGUUGUCAAGACAGAGAAAAUCUUCAAAUGUGAUUUUCAGAUUGUAUGUAAUCGAACUUGAUCCUAAAUUGCUGCCAAAGAGAGGUAUUUAAAGCAGGACCUAAUUGAAAAUAUUUUUAAUGUGAAGAGAGCUGUACUUAAAAAUGGUUAUUGUGUUGUUCUAACCAGGAUUUGCCUUUACCAGAUUUUUUUCCUUGCCCUGCACCACUGUAAAGCUGUUGGGCCUAAGCAAGCCCUUGUGAGACUGAAUUUUUUUUUCUUUGUCUUUGUCUUUUUUUUUUUUUUUUGAGUCACAUUCAGAAGACUGAACAAUUGUGUGUGUGUGUGGAGCUAUGUUUCUUGUGCCGUGAAGUAUCUGUUACAUCUUAAUGAAUCCUUGUUGUGAGGGGAGCAAAGAAAUGAAUUAGAGUGUCUUUUGGGAGAAAGCAUGUUUCAACAAGUGUGAAUAUACAGAGAUUACAAGUGACUUAUACACCACACACAUCAUUUGCUGUAUUUGGAGAUUCCUCUGCGGGCUUUGGCGAACACCACUGUUCAAGGAGAAACCUACAGGUUUUAAUAUUUUCAGAAUAGGGGAGGGAGUUGUUCAUGCAUUUUUUCCUUAGUUGUGGAGAAUAACCUUGGAGCAUUAUGCUAUUUUGUUUCUAAUCAUUCAUCAAUUUAAACAUAUCUCGUUUCUUCUACAGCAGUGAAUUCAUUUGCAUUCCAAAGAAUUUUUGCCUACCUCAGUUUGUGCAUUAAUGAAUUUUUUUUUAAUCUCAACCACAUAUUAAAAUUCUUGCAACACUGAAUGAUUGAGACAUGAAAGUCUGAUGGUGGGUUUUUGGGGGGUAGGGGAAUUGGAUGAAAUGGAGUGUCGUGCACAAUGUACGUAGGUUAUUUUGUGAUACCCAAAUAUUAAAAGUCAGCCUGUAUGUGCCUGGGUCUUAAAAAGAUGAAUUACAUGCUUAAGGAUACCCAAAUAUUAAAAGUCAGAUGUGCCUGCAUCUUAUAAUGAUGAAUUACAUGGAAAAUCGGCCUUUUUAUUAGCUGUAUUUUUUCAUUGAUUGGAGACCAGCCAUUUUUCAGUAAUUAAAUUUUGUGGAGGUGAUUGGAUGAUUGAACAAACAAGAAUGAUAUAAAGGUGUUUUCUGCAUGCAGCUAAAAUGGACACGCUAAGAGGAUUUUUUUUUUUUUAAGGAAUGGGAAUGUAAAACAGAGGUGGAUUAGCUUAUAUGUUUUAUGAAGAAAAUGAUGUGUGAUGCAUUCAUUCCAGCCUUUGCAACAUUAGAUGGGACAAGUUUUGUCUGCGGCUGAUCAGGUUUUGUCUGCAGCUGACCAUCUGUGCUGUAAAAGCGAAAGAGAAUUUCUGCUCAAGGAUUCCAUGCCAGUCCUAAUCUCAGGGUUGGUGAUAGAAGUCUGCAGCAUUAUAGAUAACUAUGCACUGUUGGUGUGCCACCUUUUCACAAGAUUGAAAAUCAUUCCAGGAACACCACUCCUGUUUCAGUUUCAUUUCACUAAACAUUGAAUUUUUAAAAAAGACAAACCUGUUUUUCAGUUUAGCCCUUUGAACCUGGGAGAUCAGCUUUCCUGCUUGUUAAACAUGUAAAAAGAUGUAACUUCUCAAAAUUGUUUUCAAAGUUUUGUGAUAGCAGUAAAUUUCUGGUUAUUACCGCUGGGUGUCUGUGUUCAAACUACAAACUUUCUGGAAUAGUCAUUCUCAGGAGGAUCUGUUUUAUGCUGCUUGCAGUUAAUAAAGCUUGAUCUUUUUAUCUAUAGGGUUAAUAUAUAUAUAUUGAUCUUUUGCACGAUGUCAUGAAAAUAUACCUGCGUCCAGAUCAUGUUCUAGCACCUCAAGGGGAAGGAAACCUUUACAGAUUGUUAAACACUGAAUCUGGCUGUGUCCAAUAUGGCGGUUGUGAAAAAAAUGUUUGUGAUAUAAAUGAUAUUAUGCAUAUUCGUCUUGAAUUCUUGUUACUAACCAUAGUGUGGUUUCUGAAGAAAAGACAAAUUUAAGAACCUCACUGUUUGAACAUCUGUACAUAAGGAUCAUGCUAUCAAUCAUGAACGAACAUUUUUUUACAUAUAUUUUAUUGACAAUAAACAUGAGACUAUAAA
rnacentral:misc_RNA from 1 species